rfam:Stegodyphus mimosarum contig63340, whole genome shotgun sequence.
GCCUUUGUGGUGUAAUGGCCAGCACACUGGGCGCGUAUUCUAGAGGUCCGAGGUUCGAGUCCCGGCUAGGACA